rnacentral:tRNA from 3 species
CGGGUGUAGCUCAGUGGCAGAGCGCCGGCUUCCCAAGCCGGUCAUGUGGGUUCGAUUCCCAUCACCC